rnacentral:lncRNA from 1 species
GCAGUCUUCGUAUUUUCAUGCUGGCAUUGGAGUUCAUUUGACAUGGAUGCCAUCAUAUAGCAUUUAACUCUAAUGUCAUCAUCCAUCCACUUUUGAUGCAUCUGACGCUGAACAUCAGUAGGACGUGUUGGUAGUGUGGGGCUAUCUGAAUCGAGUAUGUAGCCUAUUUUCUCACAGUCCAAAAUAAUUUUGAGGUUUCUAAGCCAGUCCUUGUAAUUAGUUCCGGUCAAUCGGUUGGUCUCAAGAAUACGGGUCAAAGGGUUUGAAGCUGACAUUGUAUCUGCAGAGAGUAAAGAUUCUAGUUA